rnacentral:rRNA from 1 species
UACAGAGGGUGCAAGCGUUGUUCGGAAUUAUUGGGCGUAAAGCGCGUGUAGGCGGCUUUGCAAGUCGGGUGUGAAAGCCCUCAGCUCAACUGAGGAAGUGCGCCCGAAACUGCAGAGCUUGAGUGCCGGAGAGGGUGGCGGAAUUCCCCAAGUAGAGGUGAAAUUCGUAGAUAUGGGGAGGAACACCGGUGGCGAAGGCGGCCACCUGGAAGGUAACUGACGCUGAGACGCGAAAGCGUGGGGAGCAAACAGG